rnacentral:rRNA from 1 species
AAAUUGAAGAGUUUGAUCAUGGCUCAGAUUGAACGCUGGCGGCAGGCCUAACACAUGCAAGUCGAACGGUAACAGGAAGCAGCUUGCUGCUUUGCUGACGAGUGGCGGACGGGUGAGUAAUGUCUGGGAAACUGCCUGAUGGAGGGGGAUAACUACUGGAAACGGUAGCUAAUACCGCAUAACGUCGCAAGACCAAAGAGGGGGACCUUCGGGCCUCUUGCCAUCGGAUGUGCCCAGAUGGGAUUAGCUAGUAGGUGGGGUAACGGCUCACCUAGGCGACGAUCC